AAGUCGUAACAAGGUUUCCGUAGGUGAACCUGCGGAAGGAUCAUUACAUACAGUAGAUUCUCUACUGAGCAGCGGUGGCUAAAGGACCCAGCUCAGGCUGUGGUCGAAAGUAAGCGCCCUGUCUAUACCCUUGUUUUUUUGUGGACUCAUGUUUCCUUGGUGGGUUUGCCCGCCAAAUGGACAUUUAUACACUCUUUGAAUUUUCAAUCAGCGUCUGAAUAAACAUAAUAAUUACAACUUUCAACAACGGAUCUCUUGGUUCUG
rnacentral:misc_RNA from 1 species